AACGAACGCUGGCGGCAUGCCUAACACAUGCAAGUCGAACGAGACCUUCGGGUCUAGUGGCGCACGGGUGCGGAACGCCGGGGAACCUGCCCUUAGGUUCGGAAUAACUCCCCGAAAGGGGUGCUAAUACCGGAUAAUGUCUUCCGACCAAAGAUUUAUCGCCUUUGGAUGGGCCCGCGUUGGAUUAGCUAGUUGGUAGGGUAAAAGCCUACCAAGGCGACGAUCCAUAGCUGGUCUGAGAGGAUGAUCAGCCACACUGGGACUGAGACACGGCCCAGACUCCUACGGGAGGCAGCAGAGGGGAAUAUUGGACGAGGGGCGAAAGCCUGAUCCAGCAAUGCCGCGUGAGAGAUGAAGGCCUUAGGGUUGUAAAGCUCUCUUACCCGAGACGAUAAUGACAGUACCGGGAGAAUAAGCACCGGCUAACUCCGUG
rnacentral:rRNA from 1 species